CGUGCGGAACCACAUAUUGGAUUACUCCAGUGCGGCACGAAGCCGCUGACGUCGAGUCGGCUCCUAUGCCGCUAGCUAUGCCCUGCUUGGUCCCCCGGCACGGUGGAGGUUCCGUAGCGCGUCAUGAGCACCGGGCUAAGGGGCGGUUGAGCAACUCAAGCAAACCGCCCUACCUUACUACAACAUAGGGACAGAAGGGAGAAGGUUGUGAAGGUGGCCUCGUUAUCCACACCUCCGGUCGGAUGAAUGGAGGACCGACCGACCCGGGUUUUCAUGAGCGUUGGCGGGUCCUGGAGUGCCUGUCAAGGGCGCUAGCGCAUACCCCGGGGUGAUCAUCACCACCUGCACCUCACAUCUCGGCACAGUGGAACGUGUAACCCGCCUGCUGUCUCAUUCAACUACAUUUGUUCCUGUAAUCUAUAGCCUAACAGAACGCAGCAGCGAGGGACAACCCGCCCAUACAGCCAGCGGGGAGGAUGGCACUACUGGAAAAGACCGUCUGGCGAAAACGCCGCAGGCGCGAAGCGUGGUAGGCCUGCGCUGGGGGGGCAUAGGGAGGAAAGGGAGCCCGGACGGUGGAAGAGCCAGGGGAGGCCGGGUCAUUUGACGGAAAUGGAAGGCUUUUCCCCUAUUAUAGAAGGCCCUAUGAAGUAAAGGGAAGCGCAUGAAUUCUUGGAAAAAGAGGGAGCGGCCUAUAUAAAAAAUUGAAAAAAGUUAAUUCAAUGAAUAGAGAUAGAGUCAACGGUACGACAGAUAGCGCUGCCUACACGCGAAUUAGCUUCCGAGGUCGAGCAGUCUCAAUUUCACUACAGGAUUUGCGAAUGAAUGCUGGGCUGGGCCACCUCGAAUGGCGUGAGCCGCAUGCGGGGAGACCCGCACGUACGGUUUUUAGGGGGAUCUGGUCGAAAGACCGGCCGACGCCCACCCGACUAGAGGGACUGAGAAAUUAAUAGAGUACA
rnacentral:misc_RNA from 1 species